UACAGAGGUGGCAAGCGUUGUUCGGAAUUACUGGGCGUAAAGGGCGCGUAGGCGGUUCGUUAAGUCCUGUGUGAAAUCCCCCGGCUCAACUGGGGAACUGCACAGGAAACUAGCGGGCUUGAGUUCGGGAGAGGGAAGCGGGAAUUCCGGGUGUAGCGGUGAAAUGCGUAGAUAUCCGGAGGAACACCGGUGGCGAAGGCGGCUUCCUGGACCGGACACUGACGCUGAGGCGCGAAAGCUAGG
rnacentral:rRNA from 1 species